rnacentral:tRNA from 1 species
GGCCUUGAGGUGUUAACACGUGCGGUUGCAAACCACAAGUCGCAGAUAAUACCUGCCAGGGCUU